UUUAAUAUGGCAGAAAAGUGCAAUAGAUUUAAACUCUAUAUUAUAAAGUCUUUAAAAUCUUUUAUUAAAA
rnacentral:tRNA from 1 species